rnacentral:lncRNA from 1 species
AUGCCUGUCUGCUUUCCUAUUGCAGAGGCAGACAGAGAGAGGCCUCUCUCUGAUUUCUGCCUUCUCUGUCCUAUAGACAUGGUUUUAAUGAGUUAUCCUAAUUAGGUCAGGCCCACCUGAGAUAAUCUCUCCUGAUUAACUUGAAGUCAACUGAUUAGGGACCUUUAUUACAUUGACAGAAUACCUCCACUUUUGCCAUAUAAGGUCUUUUAGCACAGGCGCUGCCCUUGGAGUUCCCAGUGUAUCAGCAACAGCCUGGAGAUCACGUUCUCAUCAAAGGGUAGAAAGAAGGGAAACUCAAGCCACCCUGGGAAGAACCCUACCUUGUGCUGCUAACCACUGAGACUGCUGUUGGCACAGUGGAAAGGGGAUGGACACAUCACACCAAGUCAAGCAAGCACAAUUAUCAUCAGAAUCAUGGGCCAUUAUUCCUGGAUCAAGUCCUAUCAAAUUAAAG